CGCCCCUAGCCAGGCGGUGUGGUCAACACUGGCUCAGGUUCUUCCGGGUCUGCAGUCUGUUGUGUGUUUGCGGUUCACAAGUACGGUUUCUGUAUCCCAAGGCUUGGCAGGGGGCCGCCUGCGGAAACACGCGGACCCCAACAUCUGGAGCAGCGAGCAGGGUUCGCGGCUCCAAGGGAGCAAGGAACUGGAGGGGGAACACCCCGGGUGCUGGAGAUGAGUGGUUUCCAUCUUGACAGUUGAAACAGUGCCAUGGCGAAGAGGAGCCGAUCCGAAGAGUUCCUGAAGGAAUUCCAGGAGCUAAAUCUGAGUGCUCAGAGAACAUUCACGUUCGGAACUCGACGUGCGGAGCCUCCAACAUGGGGACAGCUGAAAAAGCUCACUCAGGAAGCUGAAGGGGUUGUUCAACAAGCUGGGCAGCCAAAAACGCCACUGACUUUAUUUUUGGCUAUGCUGGCUGUAGUGAAUUGCCAGUCUGCUGGAGACGGUGUCAGAGGUCAAACACUGGGUCCCAGCGAGCCCAACAUGUGAUGAUGGUUUUAAAAGAAAUUCAAACCUGUAAAUAAAGAAGGGGGAGAUGUAGAGGACUACGUGCUCACAAAUGAGAUGUUCCCGCUAAGUCCUGCUCUUGCAAACAAAGCAGGACGUUCCUUCUCUGCAAACAGGAAGAACAAAAGAAUCAGCUGCAAACAGCAGACUCUGGGAACUAGUUAAUGUUUAAGCAUGAGAAAUCAGAAAGUCAGGGAAAGGUCAGAAAAACAACUCGUGUCUUAUGGUAAAAUUCCACAAACAGUUGUAUAAAAUAAAGCAGAGCAUGCCGUUAGGCGUAGCCGCCAU